UACAGAGGGGGCAAGCGUUAUUCGGAAUUAUUGGGCGUAAAGGGCGCGUAGGCGGCCUGGCAAGUGGAAGGUGAAAUCCCUCGGCUUAACCGAGGAACUGCCCUCCAAACUGCUUGGCUUGAGUCCGGGAGAGGUGAGUGGAAUUCCCAGUGUAGCGGUGAAAUGCGUAGAUAUUGGGAGGAACACCAGUGGCGAAGGCGGCUCACUGGACCGGAACUGACGCUGAAGCGCGAAAGCGUGGGGAGCAAACGGG
rnacentral:rRNA from 1 species